GAUGAACGCUGGCGGCGUGCCUAACACAUGCAAGUCGAACGAAGCACCUUACCUGAUUCUUCGGUUGCAAGUUUGGCGACUGAGUGGCGGACGGGUGAGUAACGCGUGGGUAACAUGCCCUGUACAGGGGGAUAACAGCUGUAAACGGCUGCUAAUACCGCAUAAGCGCACGUGGAGACAUCUCCUUGUUUGAAAAACUCCGUUGGGACAGGAGGGGCCCGCGUCGGCUUAGAUGGUGGGCAGGGGAACGGCCUACCAAGGCAACGAUCAGUAGCCGGUAUGUGAGAAUGAGCCGAGACAUUGGAGCUGGGAAGCAGUCGGGAAUCCUACGGGAGGGGGGAGAGGGGGAUAGUGCAAAAUGGGGGGAAUGCUGAAGCAGUUACGACGGGAGAGUGAAGAAGUAAGUGGGUAAGUAAAGCGCUAUUAGCAGUGAAGAUAAUGACGGUACCUGACGAAGAAGCUCCGGCUAAAUACGUG
rnacentral:rRNA from 1 species